rnacentral:rRNA from 1 species
AUUGAACGCUGGCGGAAUGCUUUACACAUGCAAGUCGAACGGCAGCACGGGGGCAGCCCUGGUGGCGAGUGGCGAACGGGUGAGUAAUACAUCGGAACGUGCCCGGUCGUGGGGGAUAACGUAGCGAAAGUUACGCUAAUACCGCAUACGAUCUGAGGAUGAAAGCGGGGGACCUUCGGGCCUCGCGCGAUCGGAGCGGCCGAUGUCAGAUUAGGUAGUUGGUGGGGUAAAGGCCUACCAAGCCGACGAUCUGUAGCUGGUCUGAGAGGACGACCAGCCACACUGGGACUGAGACACGGCCCAGACUCCUACGGGAGGCAGCAGUGGGGAAUUUUGGACAAUGGGCGCAAGCCUGAUCCAGCCAUUCCGCGUGCAGGACGAAGGCCUUCGGGUCGUAAACUGCUUUUGUACGGAACGAAAAGGCUCUGGCUAAUACCUGGGGCUCAUGACGGUACCGGAAGAAUAAGCACCGGCUAACUACGUG